rnacentral:rRNA from 1 species
GAUGAACGCUGGCGGCGUGCUUAACACAUGCAAGUCGAACGAAGCACCUUAUUCUGAUUUCUUCGGAAUGAAAAAUUUGGUGACUGAGUGGCGGACGGGUGAGUAACGCGUGGGUAACCUGCCUCAUACAGGGGGAUAACAGUUAGAAAUGACUGCUAAUACCGCAUAAGACCACAGCACCGCAUGGUGCAGGGGUAAAAACUCCGGUGGUAUGAGAUGGACCCGCGUCUGAUUAGGUAGUUGGUGGGGUAACGGCCUACCAAAGCGACGAUCAGUAGCCGACCUGAGAGGGUGACCGGCCACAUUGGGACUGAGACACGGCCCAAACUCCUACGGGAGGCAGCAGUGGGGAAUAUUGCACAAUGGGGGAAACCCUGAUGCAGCGACGCCGCGUGAGCGAAGAAGUAUUUCGGUAUGUAAAGCUCUAUCAGCAGGGAAGAAGAAAUGACGGUACCUGACUAAGAAGCACCGGCUAAAUACGUGCCAGCAGCCGCGGUAACAC